GUCCAGUGAAAGUCUGGGAAGGUCCUUAAGCCUUAUUGAAGAACGCAUCGCUUCUCUCGAAUCUCUUUCAUCGUAUGAGAAACGUGGAUGAUCUCUUGGUGCAUGCUUUAGAUCAUCUUUUGAAUUGCGAGUUUUUACAGAUAAACUACGGGCUUCCCUGUGCAUCGAGUCCUUGACAACAUCCCGGAAGUCAGGAGAUUGCCGUCCAGAAUGAGAUGGAGAACUUGGUUGCUUGUAUGACAGGGUUUUAGAAGGAGAUUCUGGUAGAGACAGAAAAACGUAGUCAGAGUAAACUUAGCACAAAUGUGGUGCUUCGAGAUUGAGAAUAAUAUGCAGCUGCAGAGUAGCAGAAAUCUCCAGACCCAAGAACAGAUGUUUUAUUCAUACAGCAAAAUGGUAAGAAUGUUUCUUGCCUAAGAAAGGUUAUGUUCUGUGAACAGAGAGAAAGAGAGUUUUUAUGUGUGUGAAAUGUGGAAAUAUUAGCAAUGAAUGUGGCAUAUGCAUUAUAUAUAUAUAAAAAAACUGGUUUAGAAUGA